GCUUAGAGUUUGAUCCUGGCUCAGGAUGAACGCUGGCGGUAUGCCUAACACAUGCAAGUCGAACGAAGUCUUCGGACUUAGUGGCGGACGGGUGAGUAACGCGUGAGAACCUGCCUCCAGGCUGGGGACAACAGUUGGAAACGACUGCUAAUACCCAAUGUGCCGAAAGGUGAAAGAUUUAUCACCUGGAGAGGGGCUCGCGUCCGAUUAGCUAGUUGGUGGGGUAAGAGCCUACCAAGGCGUCGAUCGGUAGCUGGUCUGAGAGGAUGAGCAGCCACACUGGGACUGAGACACGGCCCAGACUCCUACGGGAGGCAGCAGUGGGGAAUUUUCCGCAAUGGGCGAAAGCCUGACGGAGCAAUACCGCGUGAGGGAGGAAGGCUUUUGGGUUGUAAACCUCUUUUCUUAAGGAAGAGGAUCUGACGGUACUUAAGGAAUCAGCAUCGGCUAACUCCGUGCCAGCAGCCGCGGUAAUACGGAGGAUGCAAGCGUUAUCCGGAAUUAUUGGGCGUAAAGCGUCCGCAGGUGGCCUUUCAAGUCUGCUGUCAAAGACCAGAGCUCAACUCUGGGCCGGCGGUGGAAACUGGGAGGCUAGAGUACGGUAGGGGUAGAGGGAAUUCCCAGUGUAGCGGUGAAAUGCGUAGAGAUUGGGAAGAACACCAGUGGCGAAGGCGCUCUACUGGACCGAAACUGACACUCAGGGACGAAAGCUAGGGGAGCGAAAGGGAUUAGAUACCCCUGUAGUC
rnacentral:rRNA from 1 species